rnacentral:rRNA from 1 species
GACGAACGCUGGCGGCGCGCUUAACACAUGCAAGUCGAGCGAGAACCAGGGCUUCGGCCCUGGGGACAGCGGCGAACGGGUGAGUAACACGUGAGUAACCUGCCCUCGGCACCGGGAUAGCCCGGGGAAACCCGGAUUAAUACCGGAUGGCCUUUCGAGCUUUCGGGCUCGUCAGAAAAGGUAGCUUCGGCCUCCGGCCGAGGAUGGGCUCGCGGCCGUUUAGCUUGGUGGUGGGGUAACGGCCUCCCAAGGCGACGAUCGGUAGCUGGUCUGAGCGGACGAUCAGCCACACUGGGACUGAGACACGGCCCAGACUCCUACGGGAGGCAGCAGUGGGGAAUCUUGCGCAAUGGGCGAAAGCCCGACGCAGCGACGCCGCGUGCGGGAAGAAGGCCUUCGGGUUGUAAACCGCUUUCAGGAGGGACGAAGCCACUCGGGUUAAUAGCCCAGAGGGUGACGGUACCUCCAGAAGAAGCCCCGGCUAACUACGUGCCAGCAGCCGCGGUAA